GCUAAAUGGUUGCUCCAUAGACUUCUUUUGUAACUGAGUAGAAGCAUGAAGCAAAACAUCUUGUGUUAUACUAUUUCAGAAUGUUGUUGUAAAAUUGUCUUUUACAUAACAGAAAAUAAUGACUUACUGAAAGGUCAAUGGCAAAAGAUAAUGCAAGUGAUGGUUUAUUUAGAAGUGUAAAGCUAUUAAAUUCUGAAACACUGGAGGAGGUUUUGAGAAAUUUGAGAUAGCAUUUGUUAAACACUGUGGUAGAUGAUAUGUUUGAAGGCCACUUUAAUAGAAAAGUGAUACAAAUCCACCACCAGUAAAAGCUCUUCGUGAGUCAGUGUAAGUAAAUUUCAAGUUUAGUAAUUGGUUUAGAUGAGACGUUUUAUGACCCAGUGUCAUAAUCACUGCUUAUACACUCAACGCACAUUCUCCCACACACACACUGUUUGGAUGGAACUAGUCUUCCAUAGGGAGAUCAGGUAAAUUUGUGUUUGUUAGAUGUACUUUAAUCCCUUCUGAAUCAAACAUGUCUGUGUUUUUCUCACACAACCUCAGUAAAAAUGAAGGAGCUAAUUACCUACUGUUAUUUGGCCAGUCAGGGGUCCUAUGAGAAAUUUAAUCCUGGUAUCAUAUUUUUCCACAACUUUUCUCCUCGUUUAUUUUGACCUUCAUCGAAUGCCAUUACUGAAGCUAAAUUUCUUUUUGCUUUCCGGGAAUUCAGAACAUUCCAGGUAACAUAAGUUGCUGAAUCAAAAGUGACAGUCAAAACAUUUAUAACUUUAACAAAGAUGUCAAAUAAAUCCUGUUCUUUUUGAAGUGUCUAUUCAUCACAGGAUCCUGAAAAAUACCACAAAAUUUUUCCACAAAAAAAUAGUAAGCAGCACAACUGUUUUCAACAUAAAUAAUAGGAACAAAAAAUCACCAAAUCAGAGUGAUUUCUGAAGGAUCAUGUGACACUGAAGACUGGACUAAUGGAUGCUAUAAAAGUAAAUUUGCCAUCACAGAAAGAAAUUACAUUUUAAAAUAUAUUAAACUAGAAAACAGUUAUUUUAAUUUCACAAUAUUACUGUUUUCACUAUUUUUGAUCAGCACCCUGGGUGAGCAUAAGAGACUUAAAAUUACAGAGACCAGACUUUUGAACGGUAGUGUACAACACGCAUCCCCAACAACACACAUUCCCUCUUUAGUAAUUAUACAUAUACUGUAAAAUUUAACGAAUCCCAUCUGAAUAGCGCUUUUUCAUUGUUAUUUACGUGUCUUGAUGAUAUACAGGCUCACCAAUCAUCCUCACAUCUGUUACAUUAACUUCCACUGGUUCUCUACGGGAUCACAAACUCCUGUGUGUAUGUAUGUGUGUGAAAAACAUCCCCAAGGUCAGUGUGUGUGUGUGCCUGAAAUGGGAACAGGAACCUCUCGGUGGCCUUCGUACAGUAAACACGGCUCCUGUGGGACUCUGUUCAACUGUUGUCCUUAACCCCAGGAGAGCUUACUUCACACAUCUCAUCUGUAAUCAUGUAAAGCAAGGUUUACUAGGGGUCAGACUGAAUGACCCCUCACAGUACGCAACAACAUCAGCAAAUCCCACUGCUGAGGAGAGAAAAAUGGCUAAACUGGAGAAGCAUUAGGUGGGGUUCUGCACUUUCAUUUAAUCAGGAACGGUUCUGAACUACUAUCUUACACUGCAGUUAGCACUUGUUUGAUUUUAAUUAGGUCACAGAAAUUGAACAUAGGUUAAAAAUUCAGAUGAUGUGCAAUGAUAUUUGAUUCCCUUUGAUUGCUUUUUCCUCCAGGUCUUUCUAGCUGUGAAAAGGGAACUAAUCAGCUUAUUUAACACAGCACCGCACUCUGUAUUGACACAGUAAAUGGAAAAAGAAGAACCAUGGGUCCUGCAGAUUAGGGAAUGAAAAUGUUUGAAAAUGCAACACAGUCUAUGAUUUAAGAGCACAGGGAGACUGGAGACGCACGACACCUGUUCCGCCUCUUCAGAUGAUGGCUGGCUCUGCUGAUGGGUCUUGGACAGAGAGCGGUUGUGGUCAUCAUUACCAUAUCACACACACACUGACGCAUAUACACUCACAUACAGGUCUCUGGCUACAAUCCAAUCAGCAGAAGAGGUUGUGGGUAGAGGCAUUCUUGAGAUGUUUUAGGGGAAGUGGGACUAUAAUCAUGGCUCUCCAUACAUACAAAUUCUAUCUGUCUCCCGUUCUAUUGCAGAUGCAUACACUCUCCUUCUCAAUCCUGUAAAGUGGGCCUAAGAUCACAGGAAUACAAAUGUGACAGAGAUUCGAAAAAGCAUUUCCUGGCUGUCUACUGAAAUGAGAUGAAAGGAUCUACAUCGUAGGGCCAUUGAAACAUGACAGAAAAAAGGUGGGAAAUUAGGGAUCAUGUCAAUGGGCAGUUGUUCUUUCUGCUGGCUGUGGACUUCUGCUAAGACAUGGAGACAGGCAAAAAAACACGGCUUUCACAGUGAAUGACAAUACGCUAGCAGGCUGACUUGCUCAUCUGUGUGUAUUGCUAUUAUGAGGCAGUCUGUAAUAUACAUACAUUAUAUGCUACAUUACUUUGAAUGCAGACUAAUAUUUGCCUGACUUGCCCUAAGAAUCGGCAUACGGCGCCGGAAUUGCAGUGCGCCUGAAUAGCAACGCUUUACACUUCAGGGGAAUCGCAUUAUGAGAGCAGCCAUUGUCCUCAGACCCUGAACUUUUGAAAGCUUCUUUUUCAUUCCCAAAUGUCCCGCCCACUUCAAGAGUACCGUGUGCUCUGAUUGGACCACAGAGAUGCUGAGGAUGAUUAGGAGAUUCCUGGAGCUUUGCAGCUGCUGCAUCUGUGCUGAAGGAAUAUUGAGCUUCCUGAUACACGAGUCUUUCUUUCAGGGAAUUGAUCCAGAGUGUGAGCUUCUUGAGAUGCCACAGCACAAGAUUAAUUUGCAAGGAGUUCCAGGAUCUCACUUUCCGAGCAGGAAGUGUCCUGCAGAUGGGCUCCACGCAGCUCUGACGGCUUAGUUGCACCACCUCCCCGCUGUGCGACAUGAUGCUACCUGCGACUGGCUCUCCGAGGACUUUGGGAGGUUGUUGGAUAUGUCAGCCCCCGCUGAGCCGACAGGUGCAGACAAAUCUGCUGUGGAUUAGGUGAUACAUCGGAUGAAGGCGCGCUUAACCAAGCAUCUGUCCCGCGAAGAAUGUGUUGAAAGAAAGAAGUGUAACCGCCAGCUGAGGUUCUAAGGUGAAAACUCAUGAAUACAAACAUCAGUCUUCUCCUUUUCUUUCAGGGUUGUGUUGUCAGAUCCCAGAGCUCCAAACAGUAGAAGGGGCAGCCAGAGGGGACGUGACCAGUGGGAGAGAGGUCUGGCUGGGUUAGCUGAACUAUGCUUUGGCCUCCUUCAGCUGAUGGAGCGGUUUCUUCCAGGUGCCACCAGUGGAGACUCGAGCCCUUCGGACAUCUUCGACAAGGAUUUUCUAGAAUGAUGCAGGAGUAGAAAUAGCCAGGUGUGAGCAGAGAGAGGAAGCAGUCUGUAUUUAACCAGCACCACUCCUCUGAAUUCAUCUAAUGCUGCUGGGCCCAGAGAACUGCUCAGAAUCACAACAAGGUUACAUCAAAUUAACUGCCCUUUUGAACAGCUCAACCUUUUACGGUGGCACUGAAAUUAUCAGGUUUCUCUGCAGAAACUCAUCAUUCUCACAAGUUCAACCAAAUCGCCUUCAUCUCCGUCUAACUGGUGGGCGGAGUUACCAUCACUGAAUCAAGCUAAUUGGUUGAUCUACAUCUGCAGUGAAAUUCCAUUAUUUCAUUGGAUGAAGCCCCAAGAUACAAGGGAUUAUCGCUUGCUAUCAGAUGAAGAACUAUGGCAACACACACACAAAAUCCUUCAGAUAACACUGUAAAUGGACCAAGGAUAUGGACAACUCAAGGACAACUCAAGUUUUAAUUUUCAGACGAACUACAGACCAUGAAACGUCAUACAUGUGAUCGGUUGCUUCAUUGUUGCAUCAAUACUGGAUCCUCCCAUUUUCUUCACCUUGUGCUUUAGAAUGGUCUCCAUGGUUCUCAUAAUAACUAAUUAAACCAUCCUUUGACCUUCCAAAUACUACCGCACACAGUGAAAUUUGAUCAUAAGUCUGACUCGAACCCCCUAUGUCCAAAAGUCCAUUAAUUACCCCGUAGCUUUUCUCCCCAGCCCAGAGGAAGGUGACAUAGUUUAGCUCUCCUGCUAGGCCUUGCUUUGAAUUAAGUCUUUGGGAAGACCUUGCAGAUCCCUCUCGCCAUAUUGCAAUUAAUCAAACAGUGUUAAUUAUCUCAUUAUGAACCAGAGAUGGAUGUCUACGCCACAUUGGAGGGUGAGCGGAAAGAGCGAGAGACACAGGGGGCACGAGUGUGUAUACAAGAGAGAAAGAGAGAACGAGAAUGCCA